GCAUCAGUGGUGUAGCGGUAACAUUGGGUCUUCCCACUCCAAGUGACUGGCCUAGCUCCGGGUUCGACUCCCGGCUGAUGCA